rnacentral:rRNA from 1 species
GACGGAGGAUGCAAGUGUUAUCCGGAAUCACUGGGCGUAAAGCGUCUGUAGGUCGUUUAAAAAGUCUACUGUUAAAAAUUGAAGCUUAACUUCAAAGGUGCCGUAGAAACUUUUAAACUUGAGUAUGGUAGGGGUAGAGGGAAUUUCCAGUGGAGCGGUGAAAUGCGUAGAUAUUGGAAAGACCACCAAUGGCGAAGGCACUCUACUGGGCCAUUACUGACACUGAGAGACGAAAGCUAGGGAGCAAAUGGG